rnacentral:lncRNA from 1 species
GGAAGAGUAUGGUUAUACCGGAAGGUUGAGUUUGAGACAAUCACAGAUAUGAAGAUAUACAUUGACAAUAAGAAUGAAAUUUAAAUAUGCAUUGACUAAUUCUGGAUAAUAGCUCAUUUGCACAAGUGUUUCCAUCCUUGAAGUUGAUUGGCUCACGCACGAGCAGCGCUUUGUUCUGAUUGGUCCACGUGUACUCUGCAUUAUGAUUGGCUGCGAAAGCCUGUGUUAGGGGCCAUUACCACUUGGAGGAGGGUUUUUUUGUUGACGGACACGCUCAUAGAAAUUGCAUUUGUGCAGUGACAUUCUUAUUAACGCCAGUAUUUCUGGGAAGAGCUGGCAGUUAAAGUGUUAAAGAACUGUUUGAGUCAUAGUGAUAACCCCAAAGACUUCAGUGUAGUCUGGGAAAGAGCACUGGAGUUGGGCUUGUCACCUUGCAGAGUGAUUUCUACCUUCACAUGGUCUUCGCAUUGAUGCAAGGGUGCAGGCUGGCUACCUGUCAUGAGAUGGUGUACCUGUCGUGACGUGACGUGCCUGUGGUGAUGAGGUGGUAAUGUGAAGCGUCAGUGCUACCUGCUCUGGGAUACGAUCUCGAAUGUCUCCAGGAAAGGAUUAAACCGUGUGCAAGAAUC